UAAAUAGCAACAUUUUUGCAUUUGACUGUUAAUCAAAAGGUCCAGAAUUAUCUGGUUUAA
rnacentral:tRNA from 1 species